ACUCAAUGUUUUUGGAUACGACUAAAGAUGAAGUUGAACCCAGUAGGUUUUCGAAUUUAUUACAUUUAGAAAAGACAUAAAAUUAAAAGGUCACAGGCUACCAAUUUCGUGAAAAAAAAUAUACAAAACUAUCGACAACUUAUGAUAUUUGUUGAAGUACACUUUUGUGUACUUCAACUUCUGCUUAGAUACCAAAAUACUUCUUAUUCAUAAAAAUGUAUACAAAUAUGUGAGAUCAAUAAUAAUCAUGUAGUCGUGGAACAUUUCUUCUCAACAUUUGAAGAUUUUCUUUUCAAAAAUUAUUUGAAUGUUAUUUCAAAGUGUACAUAAUAAUUAUACUAUAUAUGCCUCGUUUCGUUGACCCAUUUUGUAAGAUAUGUUAUUAACAGUAUAAGAAACAUCGCGUAUUAUUAAACAUGGGUUAAGGUCAAAUAUCUUUUUUAUGAUAUUUUCUAAAUAAUUAUUAAUAAAACAUGUGUUAUACUGACUAUAAUUUAUAUCAAGAUUAAUAAAUGUCAUAUUAAUGUAAUAGCUACAAAAUAUUGUUAAACUAGUGUAUAAUACUAAAAAUUACUUUUCUUUAUUAAAAAGGAGAAAAGAAAAAAAGAUGAAUGUAUAAGUGAUGAGAAAAUUCUAUGUAUGUACAUGAUAAUAUAAUAAAAAUGAAAGUAAAAUGAAAUAUAUCAUUUUAUAUUCAUAAUAUGUGCUUUAAAAAUAUAUUAUUGCUAGUUACAUAAAUUAUCUUUCUAUUGCAUUAUAUAUUAUGUACAUACAUAAGAGGAAGAAACAAAACAUACUGAAAAACAUAUAUUGUAUAUAUACAUAUAUAUACAUUUCUGAAGACACAAUCUUUUUCAAGAAGGACUAAAACGAUAUAGUUAUAUCAUAUAUUGAAACUAGAUAAACUAUGUAAAGUAAUAUAAAGUAUUGUAACUAAAACAUAAGAUAUGAAUGCAAUUAAAUUUAACGAAUAGCUAAUAAUGUUUAUCUAAUCAUAUCAUGUUAAUGUUUAUCAUAUCAUAUAAUGUUUAUCUAAUCAUUUAGUGUUAUUAUAGAUGUUAUUUGCUUAGUCUAUUAAAAAUUGGAUUAAUAUCAGUGUAUUUGUAGUAUUCAUAUUUAUAUAGAUAUUCUUAAAUAAAUGACAUUUUCAUAAGAA